rnacentral:rRNA from 1 species
ACUUAGCGGCGGACGGGUGAGUAACGCGUGGGUAACCUGCCUUACACUGGGGGAUAACAGUUAGAAAUGACUGCUAAUACCGCAUAAGCGCACAGGGCCGCAUGGCCUGGUGUGAAAAAACUCCGGUGGUGUAAGAUGGACCCGCGUCUGAUUAGGUAGUUGGUGGGGUAACGGCCCACCAAGCCGACGAUCAGUAGCCGACCUGAGAGGGUGACCGGCCACAUUGGGACUGAGACACGGCCCAA